rnacentral:rRNA from 1 species
GAUGAACGCUAGCUACAGGCUUAACACAUGCAAGUCGAGGGGAAACGGCAUUAAGUGCUUGCACUUUUUGGACGUCGACCGGCGCACGGGUGAGUAACGCGUAUCCAACCUUCCCAUGACUAAGGGAUAACCUGCCGAAAGGCAGACUAAUACCUUAUGGUCUUCACUGACGGCAUCAGAUGUGAAGUAAAGAUUUAUCGGUUAUGGAUGGGGAUGCGUCUGAUUAGCUUGUUGGCGGGGUAACGGCCCACCAAGGCAACGAUCAGUAGGGGUUCUGAGAGGAAGGUCCCCCACAUUGGAACUGAGACACGGUCCAAACUCCUACGGGAGGCAGCAGUGAGGAAUAUUGGUCAAUGGGCGAGAGCCUGAACCAGCCAAGUAGCGUGCAGGAUGACGGCCAUAUGGGUUGUAAACUGCUUUUGUAUGGGGAUAAAGUCAAUCACGUGUGAUUGUUUGCAGGUACCAGACGAAUAAGGACCGGCUAAUUCCGUG